GCGGGGGUGGGGGCUGGGUGG
rnacentral:miRNA from 1 species